rnacentral:rRNA from 1 species
UACGUAGGGGGCGAGCGUUGUCCGGAAUCAUUGGGCGUAAAGAGCUCGUAGGCGGUCUGUCGCGUCGGAUGUGAAAGCCCGGGGCUUAACCCCGGGUCUGCAUUCGAUACGGGCAGACUAGAGUGUGGUAGGGGAGAUCGGAAUUCCUGGUGUAGCGGUGAAAUGCGCAGAUAUCAGGAGGAACACCGGUGGCGAAGGCGGAUCUCUGGGCCAUUACUGACGCUGAGGAGCGAAAGCGUGGGGAGCGAACAGG